UACGUAGGGGGCAAGCGUUGUCCGGAAUUAUUGGGCGUAAAGAGCGUGUAGGCGGUCCGGUAAGUCAGCUGUGAAAGUCAAGGGCUCAACCCUUGAAAGCCGGUUGAUACUGUCGGGCUAGAGUCCGGAAGAGGCGAGUGGAAUUCCCGGUGUAGCGGUGAAAUGCGCAGAUAUCGGGAGGAACACCAAUGGCGAAGGCAGCUCGCUGGGACGGUACUGG
rnacentral:rRNA from 1 species